GGCUUCGUAGCUCAAUUGAAUAGAGCGUCUGACUUCGGAUCAGAAGGUUGCGGGUUUGAAUCCCUCCGAGGUCA
rnacentral:tRNA from 1 species